UAAAAAUUUAUUUAUUUUAGGUAGUAAUAGACUUCUUGAAACCUAAAGAAUUUGGCGGUAUUUUAAAUAAUUAGAGGAACCUGUUUAAUAAAUGAUAAUCCACAACAUAUCUUACCUAGAUCAAGUUUGUAUACCGUUGUUUUCAGAUUAUAUUUAAAAAUUAUGAUCAAAAUUAAUUUAUUUUUAUAAAUCAAAUCAAGGUGCAGCAUAUUUAGGUUAAAAUGGGUUACAAUAUAUUUAUAUAUUUAUGAAUUAAUAAUGAAAACAUUUCUGAAGGUGGAUUUAAAAGUAAUUUAAAAUUAAAAUGUUUAAAUGAAUAAAAAUUUAAAAUAUGC
rnacentral:rRNA from 1 species